CACGUAGGGCGCAAGCGUUUGUCCGGAAUUAUUGGGCGUAAAGAGCUCGUAGGCGGUCUGUUACGUCUGCUGUGAAAACCCGGGGCUUAACCCUGGGCUUGCAGUGGAUACGGGCAGACUAGAGGCAGGUAGGGGGAGAAUGGAAUUCCCGGUGUAGCGGUGAAAUGCGCAGAUAUCGGGAGGAACACCGGUGGCGAAGGCGGUUCUCUGGGCCUGACCUGACGCUGAGGAGCGAAAGCGUGGGGAGCGAACAGG
rnacentral:rRNA from 1 species